GGAUCACAGCCGCGCCCCACGAUCCCCUCUUGACCUGAGGGACAAAUAUCAUCCUCCUCCUCCUCACCCCCGUUCCCGUGGGUAGAGCUGCCGCUUCCUCCUGGUCAUCUCCGUCGUUCCCUUUUGACUCACAUCUCUUCGUGGAGCAAUCCUCUAUCAUCCCUAUGCUUCGUGGCAAAAGGACUCCUCCGUCUUCGCCCAGUCGCCGCCUACUUCCUCUCCUGUCUUUCCCCCUCAAGGUGCAGCUCUAGGAGAGAGGAUGGGAUGGAAGAUCUAUAUGAUUUAAGAGCGACAUCCCACGUCGACAUGAGUUGCAGGUACAUCUCGCCUCUGUUCUCUUGUGUGAUGUACAUCCCAGGAGAGAGUCAUGGUGUUAUUGAUGAGAUCCCUCUGGCAGAUCUGGUAUCAACCACGGUGGCUGCUGAUUAGGAGCCGCACUACAUAACGUGAUGCACCAUGAUGUGGUUUUGUGGUAUUCUUCCUUGUAUUGAGGAAUUAAAUAUUGUGGUUUACAAGUUUAUGCAAAUGUGUACAUAUAAUUGACAAGUCUAGGCUCAUUCCAAGCUCCAUGGCUCAUGAUGCGAAAUUUUGUUGCUAAUAGGAUUUCAUCAAUGGCAACUAGUAUUUUCAAGUUGUAAGACUGGUGGAAAGAAGACCCACAUAAAUUCACGUUGAUGUUUUUUUGAA